rnacentral:rRNA from 1 species
GAUGAACGCUGGCGGCGUGCCUAAUACAUGCAAGUCGAGCGAACGGACGAUAAGCUUGCUUCUCUGAUGUUAGCGGCGGACGGGUGAGUAACACGUGUAUAACCUACCUAUAAGACUGGUAUAACUUCGGGAAACCGUAGCUAAUACCGGAUAAUAUUUUGAACCGCAUGGUUCAAAAGUGAAAGACGGUCUUGCUGUCACUUAUAGAUGGAUCCGCGCUGCAUUAGCUAGUUGGUAAGGUAACGGCUUACCAAGGCAACGAUGCAUAGCCGACCUGAGGGGGUGAUAGGCCACACUGGAGCUGAGCCACGGUCCAGACUCCUACGAGACGCAGCAGAAGCGAAUCUUCCGCAGUGGGCGAAAGCAUGACGGAGCGACGCCGCGUGAGUGAUGAAGGUCCUCGGAUCGUAAAACUCUGUUAUUAGGGAAGAACAUAUGUGUAAGUAACUGUGCACAUAUUGACGGUACCUAAUAAGAAAGCAACGGCUAACUACGUG